rnacentral:rRNA from 1 species
AAGGAUCAUUAUAGAGAGGGGGUCUCAGGCCCCCGGGGGGGAUCUCCCCCCCGCCUCUUACACCCGUGAAGAUUUACCUUCCCCGUUGCCUUGACGGGAACCCUUGGGUUUAUAAUCCCUAGAGUCUUCCCGUCAAUCGGCCCCCCCUAAAAAACUCGUUUGCUUCGGUGGUCAGAGUGAUAAAAUCAAUUAAACAAAACUUUCAACAACGGAUCUCUUGGUUCUGGCAUCGAUGAAGAACGCAGCGAAAUGCGAUAACUAAUGUGAAUUGCAGAAUUCAGUGAAUCAUCGAAUCUUUGAACGCACAUUGCGCCCCUCGGUACCCCGGGGGGCAUGCCUGUUCGAGCGUCAUUGCAUCCUUCAAGCUCAGCUUGGUCUUGGGUCUUCGCUCCCUAAAAAGGGCGUACCUCAAAAGUAGUGGCGGUCCCGGAGCGACUUACGAACGAAGUAAAUAUCAUCCGUUCAGAAAGUUCGCUCCCGUGUCCGGCCAUAACCCGAUUUUUUAAUUCAACGGUUGACCUCGGAUCAGGUAGGGAUACCCGCUGAACUUAA